AGAGUCCGAUCCUGGCUCAGGAUGAACGCUAGCUACAGGCUUAACACAUGCAAGUCGAGGGGCAGCAUUUUAGUUUGCUUGCAAACUGAAGAUGGCGACCGGCGCACGGGUGAGUAACACGUAUCCAACCUGCCGAUAACUCCGGGAUAGCCUUUCGAAAGAAAGAUUAAUACCGGAUAGCAUACGAAUAUCGCAUGAUAUUUUUAUUAAAGAAUUUCGGUUAUCGAUGGGGAUGCGUUCCAUUAGUUUGUUGGCGGGGUAACGGCCCACCAAGACUACGAUGGAUAGGGGUUCUGAGAGGAAGGUCCCCCACAUUGGAACUGAGACACGGUCCAAACUCCUACGGGAGGCAGCAGUGAGGAAUAUUGGUCAAUGGGCGCGAGCCUGAACCAGCCAAGUAGCGUGAAGGAUGAAGGCUCUAUGGGUCGUAAACUUCUUUUAUAUGGGAAUAAAGUUUUCCACGUGUGGAAUUUUGUAUGUACCAUAUGAAUAAGGAUCGGCUAACUCCGUGCCAGCAACCGCGGUAAUACGGAGGAUCCGAGCGUUAUCCGGAUUUAUUGGGUUUAAAGGGAGCGUAGGUGGAUUGUUAAGUCAGUUGUGAAAGUUUGCGGCUCAACCGUAAAAUUGCAGUUGAAACUGGCAGUCUUGAGUACAGUAGAGGUGGGCGGAAUUCGUGGUGUAGCGGUGAAAUGCUUAGAUAUCACGAAGAACUCCGAUUGCGAAGGCAGCUCACUAGACUGUCACUGACACUGAUGCUCGAAAGUGUGGGUAUCAAACAGGAUUAGAUACCCUGGUAGUCCACACGGUAAACGAUGAAUACUCGCUGUUUGCGAUAUACAGCAAGCGGCCAAGCGAAAGCGUUAAGUAUUCCACCUGGGGAGUACGCCGGCAACGGUGAAACUCAAAGGAAUUGACGGGGGCCCGCACAAGCGGAGGAACAUGUGGUUUAAUUCGAUGAUACGCGAGGAACCUUACCCGGGCUUAAAUUGCAGAUGAAUUACGGUGAAAGCCGUAAGCCGCAAGGCAUCUGUGAAGGUGCUGCAUGGUUGUCGUCAGCUCGUGCCGUGAGGUGUCGGCUUAAGUGCCAUAACGAGCGCAACCCUUAUGGUCAGUUACUACGCAAGAGGACUCUGGCCAGACUGCCGUUGACAAAACGGAGGAAGGUGGGGAUGACGUCAAAUCAUCAUGCCCUUUAUGACUUGGGCUACACACGUACUACAAUGGCGUUAAACAAAGAGAAGCAAGACCGCGAGGUGGAGCAAAACUCAGAAACAACGUCCCAGUUCGGACUGCAGGCUGCAACUCGCCUGCACGAAGUCGGAAUUGCUAGUAAUCGUGGAUCAGCAUGCCACGGUGAAUACGUUCCCGGGCCUUGCACUCACCGCCCGUCAAG
rnacentral:rRNA from 1 species